AUAAGUCUCUGUGUGGGUGUUAUUGUCUUAGCAUACACAAACAGCUGAGCAGUUCAAGACAUCACGUUCACUGCGCAGCCUAGUAUGCUCGAUAGCAUUCCACUACGGAAGGUUCAAAACCACAAGCUACAUCUCCCGAUGCAUUGACUUAUCGAUUGAACUCCUAUACAUGUAUUAAUUCCCAUUCAUGUGGGGGAUUGUUGGAUAUUAGGUCUUAAAAUGACCAAUACAGUUUUGCAAGGGAAAAUCGAGGUGCCAUCAAUCGAUGAAAGUUAGAAUCAACUUCUAAAUCGAAAUCUACUUUUCACGUAGAUGAAUCUAGACUAUUAAUUUGCUCAAAAUCGAGUACGGGUUAAUGAGAAAUUAAUUGUUUAAAGUUAAGCCCAAAAAUAGCGUUAAGGAAGUAGAUGGGGAAUCAGAGAUUGCUUCCUUAUAUGCAUUGUUGUGAUAAUGGAGCUAACACAAAAAGCACAGGUGCUCUCUUCUAAUGGGUGAGUGGGCACUUUAUUGGCGCACUUUGCACUUGCUCGCCCAUGGGAAGAGGGAGAUAUGACUGGGCAAAACAAAUGGCAACCGUUGGAUAAAAGAGGGUGAUGGAUCAUAAGUGAUACAAUCUGGAGCGUUGAUCACGAAGAGUCGCAAUCUGACCUUCAACGACUAGAUCUGAUCUGAAGCGUCAGAUUGAAUGAGUUAAUCUGACUGUCGAGAUCAAAAGACGAUCUGAAGGUUCAGAUCAAAGGUUGUCUGAAUAGAUACAACCCUCUAGAUUAAACGGCUCAGAUGAAUCCUCACCAAAACCCUCCAGAUGUUGGAAAAACACACAGAAAAAUAAAUCAAUUCAUUUAUCUCUUCUGCAUUCGGAGUCCAAAAAGCCUGUGAGAUAGUGUAGCACCUGUAGCGGAGCAAUAUCAGUUUUAUGCAUUCUUCCGGCGGCAAUCCCUGACAAUGCCGACAAUCGUAAAAUAAUUACAAGCACAAGGUAUUGAAGACCUCACAGGUAUAAUGUUUUGUUUAAACUAUAGUGUUGUUUCUAGUUUCUAGUAAACAUCUUGCAUCAAUCUUUUCUGUACCAUAGAUUCAAUCUCUUAUGCAAGGCACAUUAGAGAGACAUGAAGCCUCGAAGCCACUUGCAAAUAAAGAAUUUCUCUGGUUACUGUAUGUUAAAAAGAACCAUUGUUCUAGGCUACUACUCUACUUGCCUCACCUGCAUUCUUUAUGUACAGGCUCUUCUCAGCCUUUUUUGGUAAAUUUCGGAGCAGCAGACGAUGUCAAAGAGUGAGAACAGGUGAAGCAUCAGGCAUCAGGCAGAGAAAAGAGUAGGCAUGCCACUGAAACAAGUAUAGUUUGCUGAUUUAGGUGAGUUCCUAAAUUAAAUUCAACAUUGUUUUGAAAUCUGCUCCUGGAAGAUGAAUUGGUGAGCCUUCCCGUCGAAGUGGGAGCACGGUCGUCUCAUUGGGAGGGAGCUUAAUCUAAGCCAAUCACAUAUUGUGCGACCAUGAUUAGGUUCUUCCCGAUCUGACAACACAAGCAUAAUUGGUCUAGCUUUUAAAGCACCGAUACACUAUGUUCUCCUGCUUCUACUGUGCUCGUAUCUGAUAAGCGUUCACAAUGUGAACUUCCUUCGACAUCAAGUACUUUCCAUUUGAAUGGAAAAUUCUUUCAGGGCUUGAGAACUAAGGUUGAAGCAAACAUCAGCUGCCAAGAAGCCAAGUAGAUUCCUCAAUGCCUGUAAUGUAAAUAUCUUGUAAUCGUGAUGGUUAAAGGUUGUCUAUUUGGUAAGAACUCGAGUGAUGCAA